UGGAUAUCACUUUAGUAGAGACAUUAAGGAGAUUGCCCAUUAGAACACACCACCACCAAUUGGGAAUCACAUUGAAUCAGAGCCAUAAACCAAACUAGAAGGCUAUGUAGGGUAUAUUUGCAUUAGCCUUGGAUAAAACCAUCUUAGGAACCACGUUGGACUUGACAGCUUAAGUCUGAUUCCUACACUAAUUAAGUUUAUUCCAGCACACUGACUUCUGGAACAAAGAUCAAGUAGAUCAAGUAGAUCAAGUAUCUUAAGUCUAUACAAUUAAGAAAAUUUGAUCUUCUACAUAAGCAAUAUAAGCAUAUCUAUAACAAAACUGAAUCAUUCAACAAACACAUACAUAUUUAGUUAAUAAAGUUGUCGAAACUCCCCACUAAGUACAGAUCCAAUAAUAACUCAACUUAGUCAACUUGAUUCCUCAAAGCAUUAAACUCAACAUUACAUUCGUUGACAGUGGUAGUGCUUUUCAAUUUUUUGAGCUCAAUCAACAAUUUAAAAAGAUUAUUUCAAAUAAUUGCUCCCUAAAUAAUUUUGCCAAGUCAUGUUCUAGCCUCUUGAUUCCUUCAUGAACCCUUAAUGCCAUUAUACAACCCUUCCUUUCAAGUGAAUAAGAACAACUAAUCUGAUCUUCAUGUUUUUAGGGGUUUCAUCUAAUUCAAAGAACUCAUUUAUAAGAGAUCGACAAGGUAAUGUGGUCCUUUGCAACUAUUAGUAAAAAUUAAGUAAUUAAUGAACUCAAAGAUUAUUGGACACGCUGCAAGCAAGUAAAAGUAAAAGUCAAUAGAUUCAGUUAAAUCUAAAUUCAAUAUUAAGAGCAUGAAUUUUGAUAGAAAUUUAAGUUAAAUCGAUUUCAAAGUUUCAUCCUGCCAAAAACCCUUACUUAUAAAUUAAUCUAAAUCAUUCAUUCUCAUUCUUCAAACUUUGAGAAUUGAAUUAAAUGGAUUGAUGAUUAAAACAAUAAAAACUAUAUAUAUAAACUAGAAGUACGAACAAACAAUUUUUGGAGAGGUUUAGGGCACUAUCAUUAGUAAUUAUGCUUAAAUGAGUUGUAGAUUGUGCAUAAGAUGUAUAAACUUGAACAAAAAUGUACUGGGAAGCUCACAUGGAUCAUGUUUGUAGAGAUUGAUCAACAUCGAUGACAAUUGAUGGUGGAGGAGCGACACCAACGAACUUUAUUGUUGAUUGAGACUUACGACAGAGAUAGUGUACGAUGAUCUCCUCGUUAGUGGGGCGAAAUCGGAAACCGACUGAUUCGAGUGAAGGCCCGGUGGUCUCAACGGUGGUCCGGAGAGAAAACUACACAUCUGAUAGGGUGGGGUGAG
rnacentral:lncRNA from 1 species